UUUACUCAGCUGAAAAUGCCAGAGACCUUAGUAGCGAGAGCGAAAAGCAGUUUUACAGGAAAAGUACCGCGAGGGAACUCAGGGGCUCAAAUCUAAAGACCCUUCAUAAAUGAAACUAAAUUAAAGUACGGACUAACCCCGGUACCUUUUGCAUUAUGCUUAGAUGAAAGUUACUCAGAUGAGUUAACCCGAAGCAGUGUGAUCUACUUUCUGGAGGAAUGAUGGCGUUGCACAGCCAUGGACUUACUUAAAGGUAGGGGCGAGAUACCUUUUCGCACACUGCGAUAGCUGGUUCCCCCAAAAAGGCACAUUAGUGCUCAGUCUAGAUUAGACACUUAAGGUAGAUUUACACCUUAAGAGCUUCUACACCGGAGGAGUAAAGGGGAUAAGCUCUUUGCUCAAAGUCAAUGGCUCAUUGAUGGGCGGUAUUCUUAGUAGGCCGUAGAGUGGCCACCUUAAAGAUCUUGUUACAAAGAAAAGCCAACCUAACGAAAAUCUAUUUCUAUUAGCCUUGUAAAGUAUGGGGGCUAUUAACUGUUCAACUAUUUAAACAGGUGUGAGAAUUUCUAAAUUAGUAGUCAACUAACAAGUUAACGGGACUCCAAGUCAAGACAGUCCUCCUUUUCGUUACCUUAAGUUAGCCAAACAAAUGCAACUAAGGAACUCGGCAAACUAAGUUAUCACGCCUGUUUCCCAAAAACAUGGCCCUCCGCUUAUAUACUUAAACGUAUAUAUUAUUCACGGGAGGUCACACCUGCACAAUGGCCUACGGGUUCAAUUGCCGCGGUAACCUGACCGUGCAAAGGUAGCGUAAUCAAUAGCCUAUUAAUUGUUGGCCUGUAUGAAUGGUACGACGCUGGUGACGCUGUCUCAGUUGCAUUAAUUUGAACUUAACUUCUGGGUGAAAAGGCCCAGAUAAAUCUGAAAGACGAUUAGACCCUAUCGAACUUUAGGUAGACUAGCUGCCAGGACGCCCAACCCUGGGUAUGGGCCUGACCUGUUAUCAAACCUUUGGUUGGGGUAACCGGGGACCAAGAAAAACGCCCCCCCUCCUUUGAAAGUUGACACCCGCAUCAUGAAGGUAAUACAGACUUUACCUUUAGGGCAAUUGGCCUUCAGGAAAGCAACACACUUUUUUACAAAAAGUCUGACAAGACAUGCUUCACUUAUAAAAUGAACCUAAAGAACUAUCUAAUAAUAGUUAUCUGUUAAUAGGGAAGAGUUACCGUAGGGAUAACAGCGUAAUCCUCCCGGCGAGACCACAUUAAGGGGAGGGUUUGCGACCUCGAUGUUGGCUUAGGGCUUCCUAGAAGUGCAGGGGCUUCUAAGGGUUGGUCUGUUCGACCAUUAAAGCCUUACGUGAGCUGAGUUCAGAUCGGCGUAAGCUAGGUCGGUUUCUAUCUUCAGAAUAGUAAACUAAGGGUUUGUACGAAAGGACUUCGCUUAGGGAAUAAUUCCGUAAAAGUGAGUUAGUCUAACUCCCCACUUUAUCUCUUAUAUAGCCACAAUUAUAUA
rnacentral:rRNA from 1 species